rnacentral:rRNA from 1 species
CACGUAGGGUGCGAGCGUUGUCCGGAAUUAUUGGGCGUAAAGAGCUCGUAGGCGGUGUGUCACGUCGGCCGUGAAAACCUGCAGCUUAACUGUGGGCUUGCGGUCGAUACGGGCAUCACUGGAGUUCGGCAGGGGAGACUGGAAUUCCUGGUGUAGCGGUGAAAUGCGCAGAUAUCAGGAGGAACGCCGGUGGCGAAGGCGGGUCUCUGGGCCGAUACUGACGCUGAGGAGCGAAAGCGUGGGGAGCGAACAGG